rnacentral:lncRNA from 1 species
GUCUGUGGUUGAAACCAACAGCUUGACAAAGGAGGUGCAGCUGCCUUCACAGCUUCCCCUGAAGUGGGGGGUAUUAGGCCUCUGGCUCCCCGAGCUUUCCCAGCAGAGUCAAGAAUGUAUUUCAAGACGCCUCCCAAAGCCGCCCUCCUGGCUUAAAGGAGAAGGUUCCAAACGGCCUAUUUUCUGAACCUUCCAGCAGGCCUCUCUCUACCAUGGAACUAUUGAAGCUCUCCUUAUUUACUUACCCCAGAAAGGUUUUUUCCCCCCUUUCCUUGAGAGGCUUGGAAAUGUCACCUGGUUUUGUUUAUCUCUACUCCGAAAACCCGACACGUUGCUGCCAUUCUAAAUUUAGAUACUAGCUGGCCGGUAUUCAUUCUCUAGGGUGUGGAAUAGGACAGGAAACACAUAGCUUCACUGGAAUUUGAAAAGGGAAGUAGUAGGAUGAUGUCAACAGCGAUUAGCUUGACCCUACAUGGCUGACUGCUGUGGUGAUUAAAGGUCCAGACCAUAGAAGGAAGUGAGAGGGGCGGUAAAUGGAGAAGUCCCAUUCAAACAGUCCAGACAUCACUGCCUGCCAUCUCCCCUGGUUUAGUCUUUCUUACCUUUGGCCUCUUUUCUCUUAUUGGGUGAGCCAGAUUUCCAUGGAAAGACGUUGACACUGCCCUGUGGACAUUUUAAAAGAAGUAUUACAUCCUGAAAUACUAUUCAAUGAGACCCAGACCAUACAUUAACAAAGCCUUUUAUAUGUUAUUAGAGCCUCUACAUUCAACCCAGGGU